UAUUCCAGAAGUAAAACGCGCCAACGGCUCCCAGGAGGAGCAGCAGAGCUCCGGCGACGAGAACCGCGAUGCCAGCCUUCAAAAGGCGCCCAGUCGCGGGCUGCUCGUGUUCAAUGCCAGUGCUGCUGAAGAAUAAAUUCAAAGACAGACCCCGUGAAAGAAAACGAUUUGCUGUAUCUAGUAACCAAUGUGAACUCUGCAAACACCCAAUGCACCUCCUCUCCCCUUUCCCCCAUUUUCUCUCUAUCCCCCAGCACUCUGAACUCACGCUUCAGGUCAGAGGUUAUGACCGUGGAAUCUUGCACAUUUCUGUCAAUCCUUAUUUAGAAGUGCUGCUUUUUUUGGGGGGGUUUGUUCUUUUACUAUUUUGUCUUACUUUUAGUCUAUUUAUGUAUACAAAACAAUCAAGGUGUACAUUGUUACAAAAGCACAUUGAAGCAACGUAAAAAGACAAAAUUAGUGUGUAAUGGUACAGCAUUAUAUAAUACAAAAACAAGUGUUUAAGUAAAUACAAAGUAAAAAUAUGGAUGUAUGAGGAGUAAAAGGUAUAUUAAGCUGUAGAAAAAUAAGUUGCAAGAAUAACAAACACAAACAGUGGUCAGUCACUUGUCAGAUAUGAGGGAAAAACCUUUUAUAAAUGGUUAGUAAAAGUGUUUUUUUUAUUCAGUAAAGAGAGAGAUUUAAUCAGGGAAUUUAGUUCAAUUAGAAAAUAAGCAACUAUAGGUAUAGAAAUAUAAUUUAUUUUGUGUGAAAUUACAAGUCCGUAGCUGUGCUUCCUGCGGGAGCAUAUUGCGUCAUUUCCUGUUAUACCGACGUCUGUGUCGUAUGUUUAAUUCCUUCUGAAACUCCAGUUUCUCUCAAUUUUGUUACUGUGGUUGUUAUAUGUCCGUUAUCACAGAUUUCGUCAAACCGCUGCCUCUUUUAAAGGUAAUGGUACUUGUAAUGAGUUUAGUUUGUCAUUUAGGCAAGGCCGGGUGAAUUGAGUUUCGCUCCUACGAACCCAAAACGUUAGCGGAAGUAGUUAGCCAGCCUGCUUUAGUCGAACAGCGGUAGCUUCCGUAGCUUUCCCCACACAAUAACCCAGCCGCUGCGAAGAGCGCUGUUAAUUGGCGACUGUAUUCACAGAAACAUUAAGGUAGCUAAAGUAAAGCAUAAAGUUGCUGGCGAGUAAAACGUAAAUUCAUUAAUGUUACUACAGUAUUAACGUCGGUCAUUCGGUAACGCCAAACCAAGUAAGUAACUGAGUUAAUUAAUUCUGUUACAAUGUCAUUAUCCAAUAGAAAUAGUGUUCUCCGCCCACCUUAAUUACAUAAAUGGUUAAUUAGUAAAAUGGGAGUCUAAAUGGUAUUUCAAACCAAAUUAUAAUACACUACACCAGGGCUCCAGAGACGCAUGUGGCUCUUCCGCUACUUCCCAUAGUUCUGUAGUCCGCCAUCUUGUGCGGCAAAAGAGCAUAUAGAUAGAUAUCAAAUACAUAAAAGAACACCGAUAAUGGUAAAUACCUGUGUUAUGAGGGGUUCUGCCAACCGAUGGGGUAAUUACAUUAUACUUUUAUUUAAUUCAUAUGUUCAAUGUCAAUAAAAUUAAAAUAUAUCAAAAUGUACUUUGCGUACAUGACACAUGCACACAAUGCAAACGUAAAUCCUCCAUGUUUACGUCUGCGUUGUGUGCAAACGUAAACAUGGAGGAUGUUUACCUUCCUCCAUGUUUACGUUCCUCCAUUAAUAGAACAUUAAUUGACAUUAAUGUUCUAUUAAUGUCAUUAAUAUUUAAUUAAUUAAUGAAAUAUUUAAUUAAUAGAAUUAAAGGAAUAUUUAAUUAAUAGAACAUUAAUGUCAUUAAUUGACAUUAAUGUUCUAUUAAUGUCAAUAGACAUUAAUAGAACAUUAAUGUCUAUUGAUGUUCACAAAAGACAUUAAUCCGUACAUGCUACUGUGAUUUUUACAAUAACACGCUGUGUUAUGGUGUUAAUAAAUACCGUAUGAUAUACAUUGUCUGGCUAAUUUUCAAUGUCCGUCCGCUUUACCUAGCUUUGUUGACUUCAUAUGGGUCUUUUCCAUCCAUUAUUUUCAACUUGUCCAAGUAUCUUACUUUUGUAAUUGUGUCCAGUUAAUCUCUAUACAACAAUUUCGUCCGAUCGACCUCCGGCGAUGAAAUAUUCUUGUCUUUUGUUGUCAUUAUCGAUUGUUUACGUCUACCUGUUCACGUCUUUUGCCGCACAACAUGGCCACCGGCGCCAUGCGUCAUGGGUAAUAACGAUUAUCGGAAAACCAUCUAUAGUUGAUUAAAAACAAACCAGUGGCAGAUUUGGAUGUGUGACUUGACUUGUGUGACUGUCUGCUCCUGCUCUCUCUUUCUUCCCUGUCCUCUCUUUUGGAGUCUGUGAUUAUAAAUGUCUGAAACAAAAAUCUAUGCAUUUGCAAAGUAAUCCAUCUUAUAAUUAUAUAAUAUAUAUAUAUACUGUAUAUGGUGUCAGUGUUUUUUUGCCCCCGCAAAUGAGUAGUGCUGCAGAUUUGCAACUUGUGUCCCUCCAUGAUUAUGUCUUUGCCCUCUGUCUUUGCUUAAAAGGCUGAGGAGGUGGUGUCAGGAAUGCUCACUGUUCAUUUGGCACGUUGACAAGAAAACAUUGUGACAGGAUACAGCAGGGAGGUUUAUUCCUCGCAAGGACGUUCUUGUGCACAAAAUCGUAAAGAAAUUGUUUACAGGGAUAGGGAAGAGGUUUCAUUUUUUUUGGUGGUAUGCAUCUGUGACUCACAGGGAGGAAUAAAAUCACCCCCCCGCUUUUCCCCCCUCCCCAAAAAAGCUUUUUCACCUCUCUCACAUCUGAGUCAUUUUGUUAGAAAACCUUGGCUCCUGCUCUGGCACCUCACCAACAAAUUCCUAUUCACAAAAGAGACGGGAACAAACUUCCGUGACCUUCCCCAGCCUGCUGCAAGGACAGAGGCUGCUUGCUGCAAUAACAGCGACGCCUGUUGGCUUUUUUACUACACUGCCUAUUUUGGUCUGGACUGACUUAAGUGAAUGAUGGAUGGGGGGGGGGGAAAUCCUGUAAAAUGUUCAGUAAAAUACCGUCCCUCUCAAACUCCCAACAAACCAGUUUUCAAUCUCCAACAGUAUUUCAAAGUUUAUUUUCAUCUGAGAAUGUCGUAUUAUCAAAAAAGAAAAA